rnacentral:tRNA from 1 species
CCGGGGUGGUGAAACUGGUAGACACGCCGGAUUCAAAAUCCGGUUUCUUCGGAAGUGCCGGUUCGAUUCCGGCCCUCGGUACCAC